UACGUAGGGCGCGAGCGUUGUCCGGAAUUAUUGGGCGUAAAGAGCUCGUAGGCGGUGUGUCACGUCGGCCGUGAAAACCUGCAGCUUAACUGUGGGCGUGCGGUCGAUACGGGCAUCACUGGAGUUCGGCAGGGGAGACUGGAAUUCCUGGUGUAGCGGUGAAAUGCGCAGAUAUCAGGAGGAACACCGGUGGCGAAGGCGGGUCUCUGGGCAACAACUGACGCUGAGGAGCGAAAGCGUGGGGAGCAAACGGG
rnacentral:rRNA from 1 species